rnacentral:rRNA from 1 species
ACCAGACUCCUACGGGAGGCAGCAGUGGGGAAUAUUGCACAAUGGGGGAAACCCUGAUGCAGCGACGCCGCGUGAGCGAAGAAGUAUUUCGGUAUGUAAAGCUCUAUCAGCAGGGAAGAAAAAAAUGACGGUACCUGAGUAAGAAGCACCGGCUAAAUACGUGCCAGCAGCCGCGGUAAUACGUAGGGGGCAAGCGUUAUCCGGAUUUACUGGGUGUAAAGGGGGCGCAGACGGCAGCGCAAGCCAGGAGUGAAAGCCCGGGGCCCAACCCCGGGACUGCUCUUGGAACUGCGCGGCUGGAGUGCAGGAGGGGCAGGCGGAAUUCCUGGUGUAGCGGUGAAAUGCGUAGAUAUCAGGAGGAACACCGGUGGCGAAGGCGGCCUGCUGGACUGCGACUGACGUUGAGGCCCGAAAGCGUGGGGAGCAAACAGGAUUAGAUACCCCUGUA